AAUUUCUUUUGAAUCAAGAUUUUUGGUCGCGACCCUAUUCGUCUCAUCUCUUCGUCGGAGGUGGGUUUGGAGGCGGCAUCAUCCGGGCCGGAUGAAGCAUCCAUGGCGAGGAACAGAUUUGAGAAGAAGGAGACGGAGAAAGAAGAUGAGGUUUUGAGAAAUUAUGAAAAUUGCAAUUUGGUCCUAUGCAAUUUGGAGAGAGGGCAGCGGCUGCGGCGUGGUUGAAUCGGAGAGUCGGCCAAUGAUUCUUCGAGUUUGACAUUCUUCUUCUUCUUAUUCUUCCUGAAGGUACGAAUUAAGUUUUCACAAAUUGGAAGAAAAUGCUAUGGAAAUUGAAAGAAAUUUCUUUGAAGGGUUUUUGUAUAUUUUUUUGUUUGGGCAGGGAUGUGCCGAAAAAUUUUGAGGAGCCGUUUUUCUUCCAUUUUGUUUUCUUGGAUUUGGAAUAGAAAUGAAAUUCAUGUUCAGAUAUGGG
rnacentral:lncRNA from 1 species